rnacentral:rRNA from 1 species
UACAGAGGUCCCGAGCGUUGUUCGGAUUCAUUGGGCGUAAAGGGUGCGUAGGCGGCGCGGUGAGUCGGGUGUGAAAUCUCGGAGCUUAACUCCGAAACUGCAUUCGAUACUGCCGUGCUUGAGGACUGGAGAGGAGACUGGAAUUUACGGUGUAGCGGUGAAAUGCGUAGAUAUCGUAAGGAAGACCAGUGGCGAAGGCGGGUCUCUGGACAGUUCCUGACGCUGAGGCACGAAGGUCAGGGGAGCAAACGGG